AAGCUUUCAGAAAUUGGAUUGCAUUUCUUGCUUAUUAUACAUCCCUUGACUAUUUUGUAAUUGUGUGUAUUUGUGGAGGUCACAUGUAAAUAAACUUAAAGUGACUCUACUUUGUGAAAAUGUGAAACUUCGUGUAGGUACUCAGUAAAUCAGUAAAUUCUUACUAACGUUAGCCCCCAGCCUAGCUAUGGAGGGUGCAUGCUGAGCCCGAAGCAGAGAGCUCUGUAAUCUCUGCAUUCAUCACCACCAUGAGGAGGCCUCAGAAGCUUCUAGCACUGUUUGCACCUUCCCCACAUCACCCCUCCCUGCCUUCCUCACAGUCUUCCUUCUGAUCAGAAGACCCUUUCCUUCUUUCUCUGCCUGUCAAAAUGCUGCUCACUCUUCAAACCCUAGCUCAUAUGAAAGUGUCUGGUGUGAGCCCACUUUUAUUGAGUUGAUUCUGUAUCUUUGAUACAACUGUAUGAGGGUUCUCCAGAGACACAACAAAUAGAAGGGAGACGUAAGAAAUUGGUUUAAAGGUUCAAUUGCUAAUCUCAUCCAAAAACACCCUUACAGACACGCCCAGAAAUAAUGCUUAACCAUGUAUCUGAGCACCUCAUGAUGCCGUCAAGUUGACAAACAAAAUUAACCAUCGCAGCAGCCAUACAUUUAAAUAUAUUUGUACCAGAGAACUUACCUGAUUCUACCUGCACUUCAGAUGCUUAAGACAUGUCUGUUUUCUCCACUUUCCCCAACCAGAUUGUAUAUCUCCAUGAAUAACCUAAAUGAUCCCCCAAAUUGGAAUAUCCGGCCUAAUUCCAGGGCGGAUGGUGGUGAUGGAAGCAGGUGGAAUUAUGCCCUGUUGGUUCCAAUGCUGGGAUUGGCUGCUUUUCGUAAGUCAUGGUUUUCUUAAAAUUAGUGUUUUCCAGGCUGAGAGUGUGGAGCCCCGGUGAGGGAGGCAGCAUGGUGUGGGAGCCUGAAGGCCGUGACUUUGGGACCUGCCAGGGACAGCCGAGUUUUAUCCCCUGCAGUGAACCGUGGGCAAAUCACUUAAGCUCUGAGCCUCAGUCUUCCUGUUCACAGGAGAUGGAUAAUCAUACUUAACCUCAGCACACUGCAAGGAUUAAGUCAGCCAAGGCGUUUAGAAGCAUUUUGUGUGGGGUGGGUUUUAAUAACUUAGUUCCCUCUGAAGGCUUUGCUGCUCUCAAGUCGGGGAGGAGGUUCCUUAUUUCAGGUGCCCUCAUAAGGACUGCUGGGGAACAAAACGGGUGUAAAGGAAACCAGUGGGCUGGGCGUGGUGGCUCAUACCUGUAACCCCAGCACUCUGCGAGACCCAGGUGGGCAGAUCGAGUGACCAGCCUGAGCAACACAGCAAAACCCCGUCUCUACAAAAAAUACAAAAAUUAGCGAGUCGUGGCGGUGCACACCUGUAGUCCCAGCUACUCAGGAGGCUGAGGUGGGAAGAUCAGUGGAGCCUGGGAGGUCGAGGCUGCAGUGAGUGGAGAUGGCACCACUUGCCCUCCAGCCUGAGAAACAGGGUUAAAAAAAAAAAAAGAAAACCAGUUUUGGAAAACCAGUGAUGUUUAAUGUUUAGGAAAUCAGUCUUUGGGAGACUUCAUCCAUGAAAUCUCUGCUUGGCCUGGCCAGAAAUUCUCUCUAGUUUAGAUUGACUUGGCACCACUUUGGGGAACUGUCAGUCACAUGCAGACUUACAUCCCCACCACACAAUCAAUUCACUGAUGCAGAGGAGUGAGUUUUGUGUUUCUUCACAUUCCAUGGUUCUGGGCUGGCACUUAGGAACAUGAGAAACUGAAUAAUUGAAUGGAAGAAAGGCAAGACUGCCCUCUAGUUGUAGCGAUACAUUUUGUGUAGCGGCUUUUUAUCUGCUUCGAUGUCUCAGGUCAGAAGUUUUGCUGUAGAGGAAGAGGAGGCUGGUAAGAGCAGGUGGUUUUUAUGAUUCAGUGAUCUGCGCAGUGCUUGCUUCUUGGUGAAAGACAGGGCAGGUCCACAUCCAAUCCUAAGGGGCUGCCAUGUAAAAAGCUCAUCCGCCUGCAGGCUUGGGAAAAAAACCCUUAACACUUGGAGAGGCUACUGUUGCCUGUGGCUAGGGUGAGUGGAUUGGAAGGCUUAAAAUUACUCUGACUAAUGUAAUAAUUAAUUGGCUUUGAGGCUGGGAGAGGCCCUGAAGUGACUCAUUUUCCAUUUGUUUUUCAGACUCAUCUCAAGCUUUUAUAGCCUUUCAUGAUAACUUUCACUUCUGAAAUUCUUACCUUCCCUUCUUGGACUUUUGAAAUGAUGCUUUCUGUCCCUGAAAAGGGUUGAAGAAUAUUUUUUCUUCCUGGUUUUUUGCUGAGGUAGUGUGGUCAGAGAUAACUGUUAACUUGGUGUUCUUGUAAGGAUUCUCCAAAGGUGUGUUACGAUGUGUUUGAGGUUCUAUUGCACAUAAGAGCGUAACCAGCCUUCAGUGUAGUC
rnacentral:lncRNA from 10 species